rfam:Erinaceus europaeus unplaced genomic scaffold scaffold00426, whole genome shotgun sequence
GGAUGUGAGAGCGAUCUGGCUGUGACAUUUGUCAGCCCCUGAUCACCAAAGCUGUCUCGGCUGAUCUGGCUGUCUCUCUGGGCAGAGUCCCCUGCUUCCCUCAGUGUGUCUUCCUCAAGCUGUGUGCUUGCUUAGAGACUUUGGCCUCCCCUUAAUUGAGACCAACUGAUCUUCAGUUGGUCAACAGUGUAGGAGUAGUUGUGCUCCCCUGCUAGAACCUCCAAACAAGCUCUCAAGGUCUAAUUUACACAUAGAUGAUACAUAGAAUACUUAAAAUAUAAUCACUGGAGGAGCUUUGU